GGGCAGUUACCGCUCUAUACCGGCAGCAGCCGCGGAGAGCAUGCCCCGCCCCCGUGGAGCCCACCCCGGGCGGUUAACCUCGGGUCUCAGUCCCGGGCUGUGACCCUCCCCGAGGCCCCGCCCCCACGGCGAAGGCCCGGGGCAGUUAACCCUUCUCUUGCUGCGGCAGAGUCCGCACCCGGGCAGGCCCAUCUCAGAAUUAACGCUUUGAUGGCAUCACCGCGUCGGGAAUCCCUGGGGAUGGUGUUCUCCACCGUCAAGACCUUUGAGCCGCCUGAGCGACUAACUCCUGCGCCCCUGAGGGGACAUUUUAUUCAGAAAUUAAAUCAUUCAGAGUUCCAGCACUGUCGGGGGUCAUCGGGCUCUGUCCACCGCCAUAGGCCUAGCAUUGUCACCAACGGAGCCAUAGAGGGACCUCGGCCCAAGCUGGGGCCUCUUCAUUGUCGAAGAAGGCCUCUUGCCAGACCAGGAUCUGUGGGCGCGGCCAGGCUGGAGGACUAGGGCGGUGGCAGUGGCCAGGAAGCCCUUGGCCCCCAAGAAGGGAGACAGUUCUGCUGAAGAACUCGAACUGGAUACUCAGCUGACAG
ensembl:lncRNA novel transcript